rnacentral:rRNA from 1 species
AACGACGAUAUGCUUUGGGGAGCUGUAAGUAAGCUUUGAUCCAGAGAUUUCCGAAUGGGGAAACCCAGCAUGAGUUAUGUCAUGUUAUCGAUAUGUGAAUACAUAGCAUAUCAGAAGGCACACCCGGAGAACUGAAACAUCUUAGUACCCGGAGGAAGAGAAAGAAAAUUCGAUUCCCUUAGUAGCGGCGAGCGAAACGGGAAGAGCCCAAACCAACAAGCUUGCUUGUUGGGGUUGUAGGACACUCUAUACGGAGUUACAAAGGACGACAUUAGACGAAUCAUCUGGAAAGAUGAAUCAAAGAAGGUAAUAAUCCUGUAGUCGAAAAUGUUGUCUCUCUUGAGUGGAUCCUGAGUACGACGGAGCACGUGAAAUUCCGUCGGAAUCUGGGAGGACCAUCUCCUAAGGCUAAAUACUCUCUAGUGACCGAUAGUGAACCAGUACCGUGAGGGAAAGGUGAAAAGCACCCCGGAAGGGGAGUGAAAUAGAACCUGAAACCGUGUGCUUACAAGUAGUCAGAGCCCGUUAAUGGGUGAUGGCGUGCCUUUUGUAGAAUGAACCGGCGAGUUACGAUUUGAUGCAAGGUUAAGCAGUAAAUGUGGAGCCGUAGCGAAAGCGAGUCUGAAUAGGGCGUUUAGUAUUUGGUCGUAGACCCGAAACCAGGUGAUCUACCCUUGGUCAGGUUGAAGUUCAGGUAACACUGAAUGGAGGACCGAACCGACUUACGUUGAAAAGUGAGCGGAUGAACUGAGGGUAGCGGAGAAAUUCCAAUCGAACCUGGAGAUAGCUGGUUCUCUCCGAAAUAGCUUUAGGGCUAGCCUCAAGUGAUGAUUAUUGGAGGUAGAGCACUGUUUGGACGAGGGGCCCCUCUCGGGUUACCGAAUUCAGACAAACUCCGAAUGCCAAUUAAUUUAACUUGGGAGUCAGAACAUGGGUGAUAAGGUCCGUGUUCGAAAGGGAAACAGCCCAGACCACCAGCUAAGGUCCCAAAAUAUAUGUUAAGUGGAAAAGGAUGUGGCGUUGCCCAGACAACUAGGAUGUUGGCUUAGAAGCAGCCAUCAUUUAAAGAGUGCGUAAUAGCUCACUAGUCGAGUGACACUGCGCCGAAAAUGUACCGGGGCUAAACAUAUUACCGAAGCUGUGGAUUGUCCUUUGGACAAUGGUAGGAGAGCGUUCUAAGGGCGUUGAAGCAUGAUCGCAAGGACAUGUGGAGCGCUUAGAAGUGAGAAUGCCGGUGUGAGUAGCGAAAGACGGGUGAGAAUCCCGUCCACCGAUUGACUAAGGUUUCCAGAGGAAGGCUCGUCCGCUCUGGGUUAGUCGGGUCCUAAGCUGAGGCCGACAGGCGUAGGCGAUGGAUAACAGGUUGAUAUUCCUGUACCACCUAUAAUCGUUUUAAUCGAUGGGGGGACGCAGUAGGAUAGGCGAAGCGUGCGAUUGGAUUGCACGUCUAAGCAGUAAGGCUGAGUAUUAGGCAAAUCCGGUACUCGUUAAGGCUGAGCUGUGAUGGGGAGAAGACAUUGUGUCUUCG